rnacentral:rRNA from 1 species
UACGAAGGACCCGAGCGUUAUCCGGAUUUAUUGGGUUUAAAGGGUGCGUAGGCGGAUUAAUAAGUCAGUGGUGAAAGCCCAUCGCUUAACGAUGGAACUGCCAUUGAUACUGUUAGUCUUGAGUAUGGUUGAGGUGGGCGGAAUGUGUCAUGUAGCGGUGAAAUGCUUAGAUAUGACACAGAACACCAAUUGCGAAGGCAGCUCGCUAAACCAUAACUGACGCUGAGGCACGAAAAGCGUGGGGAGCAAACAGG